CCUACGGGAGGCAGCAGUGGGGAAUUUUGGACAAUGGACGCAAGUCUGAUCCAGCCAUGCCGCGUGCGGGAAGAAGGCCUUCGGGUUGUAAACCGCAGGAGAGUUGGAUCCGGUACCUGAAGAAUAAGCACCGGCUAACUACGUGCCAGCAGCCGCGGUAAUACGUAGGGUGCAAGCGUUAAUCGGAAUUACUGGGCGUAAAGCGUGCGCAGGCGGUUCUAUAAGACAGAUGUGAAAUCCCCGGGCUCAACCUGGGAACUGCAUUUGUGACUGUAGAGCUGGAGUGCGGCAGAGGGGGAUGGAAUUCCGCGUGUAGCAGUGAAAUGCGUAGAUAUGCGGAGGAACACCGAUGGCGAAGGCAAUCCCCUGGGCCUGACUGACGCUCAUGCACGAAAGCGUGGGGAGCAAACAGGAUUAGAUACCCUUGUAGUC
rnacentral:rRNA from 1 species